AGGUGAGAUCUUACUAGCGUUAAUGCACUGGAUCGCAUCAGAGCUUUGUAGUUAAGCACGCUUGGGCUAGAGUAGUACUGGGAUGGGUGACCUCCCGAGAAGUCUUAGUGUUGCAUCGU
rfam:Picea glauca, whole genome shotgun sequence.